rnacentral:rRNA from 1 species
UACGGAGGGUGCAAGCGUUAAUCGGAUUUAUUGGGCGUAAAGGGCGCGUAGGCGGGAGAGAAAGUUAAAUGUGAAAGCCCGGGGCUCAACCUCGGAAACGCAUUUAAAACUUCUUUUCUAGAGGAUAGGCGGAGAAAAUGGAAUUCCACGUGUAGCGGUGAAAUGCGUAGAUAUGUGGAAGAACACCGGUGGCGAAAGCGAUUUUCUAGCUUAGACCUGACGCUGAGGCGCGAAAGCUAGGGGAGCAAACAGG